rnacentral:rRNA from 1 species
UACGAAGGGGGCUAGCGUUGCUCGGAAUCAGUCUGGGCGUAAAGGGUGUCGUAGGCGGGUACUUUAAGUCGAGGGUGAAAUCCUGGGAGCUCAACUCCAGAACUGCCUUUGAUGACUGAAGAUCUUGAGUUCGGGAGAGGUGAGUGGAACUGCGAGUGUAGAGGUGAAAUUCGUAGAUAUUCGCAAGAACACCAGUGGCGAAGGCGGCCUCACUGGCCCGAUACUGACGCUGAGGCACGGAAAGCGUGGGGAG